AUGGAAUACGCUACUGAAGAUACUUAUCCAUGCAAAUAUGUGUGGGAAAUAAAGAAUUCUAAGUGGAUAGCUAGUGAAAGGAAGAUUCCAAGAGAAGUUGCGCCAGUUAAAGAAAGUGAUCAGGGGCUCGAAGAUAUCAGUUGUGUGUGGUAUAUCUGGGCUGGUGUUACAAGGAAUAAAAAGAGACAUUUUUCCUUAUCCUACUCUCAGAUUACAAAUCAUUCUCGCAACAUGAAUCAAAAUCAAGCUGGUGGGAGUAAACUUGUCCAAGAGAUUGAGGCUUAA